UACGGGGGGAGCAAGCGUUGUUCGGAUUUACUGGGCGUAAAGGGCGCGUAGGCGGCCAGCACAAGUCAGUUGUGAAAUCUCCGAGCUUAACUCGGAAAGGUCAACUGAUACUGUGCGGCUAGAGUGCGGAAGGGGCAACUGGAAUUCUUGGUGUAGCGGUGAAAUGCGUAGAUAUCAAGAGGAACACCUGCGGCGAAGGCGGCUUUCUGGUCUGUAACUGACGCUGAGGCGCGAAAGCGUGGGGAGCAAACAGG
rnacentral:rRNA from 1 species